UACAGAGGGGGCAAGCGUUAUUCGGAAUUAUUGGGCGUAAAGGGCGCGUAGGCGGCCAGGCAAGUGGAAGGUGAAAUCCCUCGGCUUAACCGAGGAACUGCCCUCCAAACUGCUUGGCUUGAGACCGGGAGAGGUGAGUGGAAUUCCCAGUGUAGCGGUGAAAUGCGCAGAUAUCAGGAGGAACACCGAUGGCGAAGGCAGGUCUCUGGGCCGAUACUGACGCUGAGGAGCGAAAGCGUGGGGAGCAAACAGG
rnacentral:rRNA from 1 species